UGCAGUCGAGGGGUAUAUUUCUUCGGAGAUAGAGACCGGCGCACGGGUGCGUAACGCGUAUGCAAUCUACCUUUUACAGAGGGAUAGCCCAGAGAAAUUUGGAUUAAUACCUCAUAGUAUAUNGACNUGGCAUNAGGAUUAUAUUAAAGUCACAACGGUAAAAGAUGAGCAUGCGUCCCAUUAGCUAGUUGGUAAGGUAACGGCUUACCAAGGCUACGAUGGGUAGGGGUCCUGAGAGGGAGAUCCCCCACACUGGUACUGAGACACGGACCAGACUCCUACGGGAGGCAGCAGUGAGGAAUAUUGGACAAUGGGCGCAAGCCUGAUCCAGCCAUGCCGCGUGCAGGAUGACGGUCCUAUGGAUUGUAAACUGCUUUUAUACGAGAAGAAACACUGCUNCGUGWAGSAGCUUGACGGUAUCGUAAGAAUAAGGAUCGGCUAACUCCGUGCCAGCAGCCGCGGUAAUACGGAGGAUCCAAGCGUUAUCCGGAAUCAUUGGGUUUAAAGGGUCCGUAGGCGGUUUAAUAAGUCAGUGGUGAAAGCCCAUCGCUCAACGGUGGAACGGCCAUUGAUACUGUUAGACUUGAAUUAUUAGGAAGUAACUAGAAUAUGUAGUGUAGCGGUGAAAUGCUUAGAGAUUACAUGGAAUACCAAUUGCGAAGGCAGGUUACUACUAAUUGAUUGACGCUGAUGGACGAAAGCGUGGGUAGCGAACAGGAUUAGAUACCCUGGUAGUCCACGCCGUAAACGAUGGAUACUAGCUGUUGGAAGCAAUUUCAGUGGCUAAGCGAAAGUGAUAAGUAUCCCACCUGGGGAGUACGUUCGCAAGAAUGAAACUCAAAGGAAUUGACGGGGGCC
rnacentral:rRNA from 1 species